UCCCAAUGAGUGGACCAAUAAAUUAAAGGAGUCAAAGCGCUCGGUGAUUUAGGUAGUACAUGUUGUAUCCUUUUAAUUAUGCUGCAUUAAAAUAUAACAUAUAAACUGUCAUUUCAUUUAAGACUGUUAAUUGUUUGUAAUUGCGUUUUCGGACACAGCCAUUGUUUUGUCGGUGUAGCUACGUCAUAAAGAUGAACCAGAACAGAACUGAUGAAAAAAAAUGUCGCGGCGUGUUACGUCAGACGUUGAAAAAAAGUUUAGGCUCAUUAUAAAAGCCAGAGGUGAACGGUGUUAUUCCUUAUUGGCGGCUCGGUCUGGUCCGGUAUGGAAAGCAAUGGUUGAACAGAUGCGUUGUGAUUUCUGCGCACGAAAACGAGGUCGAAGUUGUCCGCGACAAGGUAUACUGCUGGAACUGAAAUACAAGAUUGAUCGUCCUGAAGAUCUUCAACACAAUGUGUUGACGCUGCAUCCACACACAAGCUCUGGAAAUCUGGAUCCUGGACUACAGGGUGAAGGUGGCCCACAUGAACCAACUCCUUAUUAGUAAGAUUUUCUCAGCCACAGGUUUUCUUAAGGAUUCUAUGGGACAGUUGAAGUUUGAAGAAGUUGGAUCCUGGUUAAAGGGACCUGAGAAUGUUUAACCCAGUAUCAAUGAGCAUGGAAAGCAGACGUGAGACUACAGAACCUGGAGAAGUUACAUCCUAGUCAGAUCAAGUCACGACUGUAGCCAAGAUAAUCCAGACCCGCCUCCUUCCUCCUGGGUGUCUUAAGGUACUGACCCCAAGGAAUCCAAGAACCCUGCGUGGCAGAAUAUGGAUUUUUUUUUUUUUUAUUAUUAUUAUUUUUUUUAAAUAGUCAUAAGGUUGACCGUUUACAAAUCAGCAUGACAUUUCAUGGCUGUUCAAAGAUGUGGUCUUUGGUCACUGAUGAAUUAAACUUAACGCUUGAUCCUAGGUUUAGUUUUUGCUUUGCUUUAGUUUACAGAGUUUAAUGAGCUGGAUUUCCUUCACACUUCACUUCACUUCACUACUAACCUAACUUUUCCUCACCCCUUGUUCUUCACGAAAUCCACUCAUGAAUUCUUAUUUAGUGUUGUACCAUGUAUGCAGUUUACAAAAUCAGAGUUGGAUCCCUCUGCUUUUGUGACCUGGUCCAUCCAUGGUACAUUAUCCUCUAAAAAAAGCUACCGACUAGUCAAUGUAAAGUAAUUAAAGUAAUGCAAAGUAAUUUAGAACAGAAUAAAUGAAGAUUUUCUUUAUGAUCAAGCGUUUGUAGUUACUUUAUCAGUUUCCUUCUGGCCUCAUCAAGGACUAGACAUGAGAAUCCAUGGUGAUUCAGUUAAUGGUUGCCUGGUUUGUUUAACUUUGGAGUCGAGGUCCACAGUAGUCCUGUUAAUUUUUUUUUGUGUGUGUAUCUGUAGGCAUAAUGUUACUCUGUCAACUGCAUGGAUGGACUGGCAGUUUCCUUUUGUUUUGUUGGGCCGGGACCUUCAUUCCUUUUUAGUUAUGUUCAUUUAAAAUGUUCAAAUAAACUACAUUAAAUUUCAUGCAAUUGCACUCUGUCUUCCCUGCCCUCCUUAUUUUUUAUAUCUUGUAAGCACAAUGAAAUUAACAAAGGACAAAAUGUUAACUUCCAUGAAGCUAAAUGCCCAGACACUGACCUCAGUUUUGGUCACAUCAGGGAUAAAACUAAACC